AUACGUAGGGGGCAAGCGUUAUCCGGAUUUACUGGGUGUAAAGGGAGCGUAGACGGCACUGCAAGUCUGGAGUGAAAGCCCGGGGCUCAACCCCGGGACUGCUUUGGAAACUGUGGAACUGGAGUGCAGGAGAGGUAAGUGGAAUUCCUAGUGUAGCGGUGAAAUGCGUAGAUAUUAGGAGGAACACCAGUGGCGAAGGCGGCUUACUGGACUGUAACUGACGCUGAGGUGCGAAAGCGUGGGGAGC
rnacentral:rRNA from 1 species